UCCCCGAGGAGGCAAGUGAGCGUGAGCAGUGCUUGAUACCAGCGCUGAGCUGCACGACCAAGGCAGGGAUUCGAGGCAGGGGAGCUGAACCCAGGGCUCCUUUAAAGAUCACAGGCCAGAAAAUCAGCCGCUCUUGCUUCUGGAGUAGCCUCUGUGCACGUGGUGAAGCGAGGUUGUGUGCGUGGCUGGGCUGCCUUCGCGGGGUGGGGUGUGGAGAGCCGCCCCCCCACUCUCCUGGCUUGUGGGAAUGUUAUGGCAGUUUGUCCCCGAGCAGGGUUUCUGAGAAGGUGUUCCCGGGGCCCGACCUGCUAGAGGAGGCGUCUGGAGGCCCUCACAGGAAUAAUCCAGGUCGCCUUCACUGGAAAUCAGUUUGCUGAAACUAUUGAUACGCAGUUCUUAACGCUGAAGAAAAGGAGGUCCUGCGCCUUGACCACACGAGCGUGGCCCUUCCUCCAGACCCCCGCUCCGGACGCGCCCACCUAGCGUCUCCCAGGAACCAUGCGGCAGCUCAAGGGGAAGCCCAAGAAGGAGACGUCCAAGGACAAGAAGGAGCGGAAGCAGGCCAUGCAGGAGGCCCGGCAGCAGAUCACCACCGUGGUGCUGCCCACGCUGGCCGUGGUCGUGGUCCUGAUCGUGGUGUUUGUGUACGUGGCCACGCGCCCCACCAUCACCGAGUGAGGGCCCGCCCCGAGGGAGGAGGCUCGGGAGGGGAGAGCAGAAGAAGGGCCUUCAUCCGCUGCGAUUUUCCUGAUGCCGAGCUCUGAGCAGGAGCCCCCGUCUGCUCUGGUCUGUGACUUGAUUAAAGGUUCUCCACUUUUCUUGGGAGGGAAUAGGAAACGUUUUAUCAGUGAACGUGCCAUACACUUUAUGGUCCACUUCAUGUGCCUUUCAGACUUCAAAGCCGUGUGUGUGUGUGUGUGUGUGUGUGUGUGUGUGUGUGUGUGUGUGUUUCUCGCCUGCAAUCGAUGUGUAGCCCCACCUGGUGAGAGGAGGCGUCUCUGGGUCACGGAUCAGUUGGAAUCAGUGCUCACCCCAUCCCCGUUGUUUUGAACAUGACUUUCCUACACGUGUUCACAAUUUCCAAAGGGACUGUGUUUCUUCUCUGUGCUUCAUGUGAUUUGAAAUAUGUCGACUCAAAAGUGAAAUAUUUAUUUUUUGAAUAAAGGAGAUGAUAGCC
rnacentral:lncRNA from 1 species